UGGGGAAUCAUGGUCAAUGGGCGAAAGCCUGAACCUGCGACGCCGCGUGAGUGAUGAAGGUCGUAAGAUCGUAAAACUCUUUUCAGGGAUCUUAAAGCCUGUCUGUCAACAACAGGCAGGUCUGACUCUCCCUGGAAGAAGCCCCAGCCAACUACGUGCCAGCAGCUGCGGUAAUACGUAGGGGGCGAGCGUUAUUCGGAAUUACUGGGUGUAAAGGGUAUGUAGGCGGCCCUUCAAGUCGCGUGUCAAAGUCCAGUGCUCAACGCGGGGUGGGCGUGCGAUACUGACGGGCUUGAGGGCUGGAGAGGUGAGCGGAAUUCCCGGUGUAUUGGUAAAAUACGUAGAGAUCGGGAGGAACACCAGCGGCGCAGGCGGCUCACUAGACAGUUUCUGACGCUAAGAUACGAAAGCGUGGGGAGCAAACA
rnacentral:rRNA from 1 species